rnacentral:rRNA from 1 species
AUUGAACGCUGGCGGCAGGCCUAACACAUGCAAGUCGAGCGAGCGGCGGACGGGUGAGUAAUGUCUGGGAAACUGCCUGAUGGAGGGGGAUAACUCCUGGAAACGGUAUCUAAUACCGCAUACCAUCAGAUUUGCCCAGAUGGGAUUAGCUAGUCGGUGGGGUAACGGCUCACCUAGGCGACGAUCCCUAGCUGGUCUGAGAGGAUGAACAGCAACACUGGAACUGAGAACCGGUCCAGACUCCUACGGGAGGCAGAAGGGGGGAAUAUGGCACAAUGGGCGCAAGCCUGAUGCAGCCAUGCCGCGUGUAUGAAGAAGGCCGUCGGGUUGUAAAGUACUUUCAGCGGGGAGGCGUUACCCGAAGAAGAAGCACCGGCUAACUCCGUGCCAGCAGCCGCGGUAAUUC